UACAGAGGUCUCAAGCGUUGUUCGGAUUCAUUGGGCGUAAAGGGUGCGUAGGUGGCGCCGUAAGUCGGGUGUGAAAUUUCGGAGCUUAACUCCGAAACUGCAUUCGAUACUGCGGUGCUUGAGGACUGGAGAGGAGACUGGAAUUUAUGGUGUAGCAGUGAAAUGCGUAGAGAUCAUGAGGAAGACCAGUGGCGAAGGCGGGUCUCUGGACAGUUCCUGACACUGAGGCACGAAGGCCAGGGGAGCAAACGGG
rnacentral:rRNA from 1 species